AUCGUAACUCCUACGGGAGGCAGCAGUAGGGAAUCUUCCGCAAUGGACGCAAGUCUGACGGAGCAACGCCGCGUGAGUGAAGAAGGUUUUCGGAUCGUAAAACUCUGUUGUUAGAGAAGAACAAGUGCUAGAGUAACUGUUAGCGCCUUGACGGUAUCUAACCAGAAAGCCACGGCUAACUACGUGCCAGCAGCCGCGGUAAUACGUAGGUGGCAAGCGUUGUCCGGAUUUAUUGGGCGUAAAGCGAGCGCAGGCGGUUCCUUAAGUCUGAUGUGAAAGCCCCCGGCUCAACCGGGGAGGGUCAUUGGAAACUGGGGAACUUGAGUGCAGAAGAGGAGAGUGGAAUUCCAUGUGUAGCGGUGAAAUGCGUAGAUAUAUGGAGGAACACCAGUGGCGAAGGCGACUCUCUGGUCUGUAACUGACGCUGAGGCUCGAAAGCGUGGGUAGCAAACAGGAUUAGAAACCCUUGUAGUCCUAGAGC
rnacentral:rRNA from 1 species